CGGAGGUUGGUCCUCUUAAUUUGCCUCGAAACACCGACGUCGUCAAUUCCAAGUCGUUCCUCCUCCCUCACGCUCGUCCUGGACUCGUCUCUCUUUGCUUGUCUGAAAACGACGACGACGAUGAAACCAGACUCGAUCCGGAGUACAGAAAUGUCGAGUUCUUGAUCACUACAGGACCUGGUCCUUGUCCGCAGCUCGACGGUGGCAACAUUGUCUUCGGAACUGUCCUUGAAGGUAAUUUAAAACCAACUUUCUUUGUUGACAUUUUUCUUAAUGUUGAGUUUAAUUUCAAGAAAUCAAAAUCUCUGUACAGGGUUAGAUGUGGUGACUGUAAUCAUGGCUUGUUUAAACGGCGUCGUAGAAGAAAGCUAAAUAUCAGAGGAGAGAGAGACGUUGCAAUCAUUCCACCAUGGCAUCAUCAUCCAUUCUCAUCCCUCCGAUUCUCUCCGCUUCCAUCAGCCGUCGCAACCUCCUCCUCUCCACCACAAUCGCUACCGUAUCCCCGUCCCCUCAGAUUCCUUCCCCAGACGUAACAAUCACCGAUCGCGUCUUCCUCGAUUUCUCCCUCUGUCCCACUUACUUCCGCUCCGAUCCCUCCGCCACACUCUCCUCCACCACGCCUUGCUCCGACUCCACUCCUCUUGGCCGCGUCGUUCUCGGACUAUACGGCCGUCAUGUUCCUCUCACUGUCUCCACUUUCAAACUCAUGUGCACUUCCUCCUCUACAUCUUACAAAAACACUCCCAUCCACAAAAUCUUCCCCGGUCAGUUUUUCCUCGCCGGAAGACAAGGAUUACGUCGAGACACGGCGGAGGUUGGUCCUCUUAAUUUGCCUCGAAACACCGACGUCGUCAAUUCCAAGUCGUUCCUCCUCCCUCACGCUCGUCCUGGACUCGUCUCUCUUUGCUUGUCUGAAAACGACGACGACGAUGAAACCAGACUCGAUCCGGAGUACAGAAAUGUCGAGUUCUUGAUCACUACAGGACCUGGUCCUUGUCCGCAGCUCGACGGUGGCAACAUUGUCUUCGGAACUGUCCUUG
rnacentral:lncRNA from 1 species